GACAGAGGUCCCGAGCGUUGUUCGGAUUCAUUGGGCGUAAAGGGUGUGUAGGAGGUCGGGUAAGUCAGGUGUGAAAUCUCACAGCUUAACUGUGAAACUGCGCUUGAUACUGCCCGGCUAGAGGAUCGGAGGGGGUAACGGAAUUCAUGGUGUAGCAGUGAAAUGCGUAGAUAUCAUGAGGAACACCGGUGGCGAAGGCGGUUACCUGGAAGAUUCCUGACUCUGAAACACGAAAGCCAGGGGAGCAAACGGG
rnacentral:rRNA from 1 species